CCGGGGCUUCUUCUCCCGUUACCGUCAUCAUCUUCACGGGUGAAAGAACUUUACAACCCUAAGGCCUUCUUCAUUCACGCGGCAUGGCUGGAUCAGGGUUGCCCCCAUUGUCCAAUAUUCCCCA
rnacentral:rRNA from 1 species